rnacentral:rRNA from 1 species
AUUGAACGCUGGCGGCAUGCUUUACACAUGCAAGUCGAACGGUAACAGGGUGCUUGCACCGCUGACGAGUGGCGAACGGGUGAGUAAUGCGUCGGAACGUGCCGAGUAGUGGGGGAUAACGCAUCGAAAGGUGUGCUAACACCGCAUACGUACUGAGGUAGAAAGUGGGGGACCUUCGGGCCUCACGCUAUUCGAGCGGCCGACGUCUGAUUAGCUAGUUGGUGAGGUAGAGGCUCACCAAGGUGACGAUCAGUAGCGGGUCUGAGAGGAUGAGCCGCCACACUGGGACUGAGACACGGCCCAGACUCCUGCGGGAGGCAGCAGUGGGGAAUUGUGGACAAUGGGCGCAAGCCUGAUUCAGCCAUGCCGCGUGUCUGAAGAAGGCCUUCGGGUUGUAAAGGACUUUUGUCCGGGAGCAAAUACCCAGUGCUAAUAACGCUGGGGGCUGAGAGUACCGGAAGAAUAAGCACCGGCUAACUACGUGCCAGCCGCCGCAGUAAUAC